AUUGAACGCUGGCGGCAGGCCUAACACAUGCAAGUCGUGCGGAUGACGGGAGCUUGCUCCUUGAUUCAGCGGCGGACGGGUGAGUAAUGCCUAGGAAUCUGCCUGGUAGUGGGGGGCAACGUUUCGAAAGGAACGCUAAUACCGCAUACGUCCUACGGGAGAAAGCAGGGGACCUUCGGGCCUUGCGCUAUCAGAUGAGCCUAGGUCGGAUUAGCUAGUUGGUGGGGUAAUGGCUCACCAAGGCGACGAUCCGUAACUGGUCUGAGAGGAUGAUCAGUCGCACUGGAACUGAGACACGGUCCAGACUCCUACGGGAGGCAGCAGUGGGGAAUAUUGGACAAUGGGCGAAAGCCUGAUCCAGCCAUGCCGCGUGUGUGAAGAAGGUCUUCGGAUUGUAAAGCACUUUAAGUUGGGAGGAAGGGCAGUAAGCUAAUACCUUGCUGUUUUGACGUUACCGACAGAAUAAGCACCGGCUAACUCUGUGCCAGCAGCCGCCGUAAUAC
rnacentral:rRNA from 1 species